UACGGAGGGGGCUAGCGUUGUUCGGAAUUACUGGGCGUAAAGGGCGCGUAGGCGGAUAGUUUAGUCAGAGGUGAAAGCCCAGGGCUCAACCCUGGAAUUGCCUUUGAUACUGGCUAUCUUGAGUUCGGGAGAGGUGAGUGGAACUCCGAGUGUAGAGGUGAAAUUCGUAGAUAUUCGGAAGAACACCAGUGGCGAAGGCGACUCACUGGCCCGAUACUGACGCUGAGGCGCGAAAGCGUGGGGAGCAAACAGG
rnacentral:rRNA from 1 species